rnacentral:rRNA from 1 species
AGUGAACGCUGGCGGUAGGCCUAACACAUGCAAGUCGAACGGCAGCACAGGAGAGCUUGCUCUCUGGGUGGCGAGUGGCGGACGGGUGAGGAAUACAUCGGAAUCUACUCUGUCGUGAGGGAUAACGUAGGGAAACUUACGCUAAUACCGCAUACGACCUACGGGGGAAAGCAGGGGACCUUCGGUCCUUGCGCGAUUGAAUGAGCCGAUGUCGGAUGAGCUAGUUGGCGGGGUAAAGGCCAACCAAGGCGACGAUCCGUAGCUGGUCUGAGAGGAUGAUCAGCCACACUGGAACUGAGACACGGUCCAGACUCCUACGGGAGGCAGCAGUGGGGAAUAUUGGACAAUGGGCGCAAGCCUGAUCCAGCCAUACCGCGUGGGUGAAGAAGGCCUUCGGGUUGUAAAGCCCUUUUGUUGGGAAAGAAAUCCAGCUGGCUAAUACCCGGUUGGGAUGACGGUACCCAAAGAAUAAGCACCGGCUAACUUCGUGCCAGCAGCCGCAGUAA